rnacentral:rRNA from 1 species
UACGUAGGUGACCAGCGUUGUCCGGAUUUACUGGGCGUAAAGAGCGCGCAGGCGGUCGUUCAAGUCGAGUGUGAAAGCCCCCGGCUCAACUGGGGAGGGGCAUUCGAUACUGAUCGACUUGAAGGCAGGAGAGGGAAGUGGAAUUCCCGGUGUAGUGGUGAAAUGCGUAGAUAUCGGGAGGAACACCAGUGGCGAAGGCGACUUCCUGGCCUGUUCUUGACGCUGAGGCGCGAAAGCUAGGGGAGCAAACGGG